UACUGAGGAGUCCCAUAAUAGGACGAAACGGUCGUCCA
rnacentral:hammerhead_ribozyme from 1 species